rnacentral:rRNA from 1 species
AAAGUUGCAUGCAGUAGACCCGAAACCGGGUGAUCUAGCCAUGACCAGGUUGAAGUUGGGGUAAAACCCGAUGGAGGACCGAACCGACCCCCGUUGAAACGUUGGCGGAUGAGUUGUGGCUAGGGGUGAAAUUCCAAUCGAACCCGGAGAUAGCUGGUUCUCCCCGAAAUAGCUUUAGGGCUAGCGUCGAGGUAGAGAGUUGCGUGAAGGUAGAGCACUGAAUAUGUGAUGGCCCCAUCUCGGGGUACUGAGCAUAAUCAAACUGCGAAUGUCACGGAAACAUACUCGGCAGUCAGACAGCGGGUGAUAAGGUCCGUUGUCAAGAGGGAAACAGCCCAGACCAUCAGCUAAGGUCCCAAAAUGUAUGCUAAGUGGAAAAGGAUGUGGAGAUGUACAGACAACUAGGAGGUUGGCUCAGAAGCAGCCAUCCUUUAAAGAGUGCGUAACAGCUCACUAGUCGAAUGACUCUGCGCCGAUAAUUUACCGGGGCUAAGCAUACUACCGAAGCUAUGGAUCCCAAGGGAUGGUAGGGGAGCGUUCCAUGAACGGAGAAGCGCGAUCGAGAGGACGCGUGGAGAUCAUGGAAGAGAGAAUGCCGGUGUGAGUAGCGGAACGUGGGUGAGAAUCCCACGCACCGAAAACCCAAGGUUUCCAGAGGAAGGUUCGUCCGCUCUGGGUAAGUCGGGACCUAAGGCGAGGCCGAGAGGCGUAGUCGAUGGACAACAGGUAGAGAUUCCUGUACUCAUAUAUAUGUGAAGGAAUGACGGAGAGAGGAAGCUGCAGCCAGCGGCUGGAAGAGCUGGUGCAAGCGAGAUAUCGGGAUGGCAGGCAAAUCCACCAUCCGAAACGAGAAGGCGUGAAGCGUACGGAAAGCUAAGGCGAGUACGGAAGGCAGUGGAGGAGCUUCCAAGAAAAGUUUCUAACGAAAGUAUAUGUGACCCGUACCGAAAAUGGACACACAUGGGUGAGGAGAGAAUCCUAAGGUGAGCGAGAGAACUAUAGCUAAGGAACUCUGCAAAAUGACUCCGUAACUUAGGGAGAAGGAGUGCUCAUAGAGAUAUGAGCCGCAGUGAAACGGCCCAAGCGACUGUUUACCAAAAACACAGCUCUCUGCUAAGCCGCAAGGCGAAGUAUAGGGGGUGACGCCUGCCCGGUGCUGGAAGGUUAAGGGGAGGGGUUAACGCAAGUGAAGCCCUGAACUGAAGCCCCAGUAAACGGCGGCCGUAACUAUAACGGUCCUAAGGGAGCGAAAUUCCUUGUCAGGUAAGUUCUGACCCGCACGAAAGGCGUAACGAUUUGGGCGCUGUCUCAGCUGUAGACUCGGUGAAGUCUUAGUACCUGUGAAGAUGCAGGUUACCCGCGACUAGACGGAAAGACCCCAUGGAGCUUCACUGCAGGUUGAUAUUGGGAUUUGAUGCAGCAUGUACAGGAUAGGUAGGAGGCAAAGAGAUGGAUACGCCAGUAUUCAAGGAGCCGCUGUUGGGAUACUACCCCUGUUGUAUUGGAUUUCUAACCGGACGACGUAAAGCCGUUGACGGGACAGUGUCAGUCGGGCAGUUUGACUGGGGCGGUCGCCUCCCAAAGAGUAACGGAGGCGCCCAAAGAUACCCUCAGCUUGGAUGGAAACCAAGCGCAGAGUGCAAAGGCAAAAGGGUGUUUGACUGCGAGACCUACAAGUCGAGCAGGGACGAAAGUCGGGCUUAGUGAUCCG